rnacentral:rRNA from 1 species
GACGAACGCUGGCGGCGUGCUUAACACAUGCAAGUCGAACGGUGAAGCGCCUUCCUUUUUGGUGGGUGUGGAUGAGUGGCGAACGGGUGAGUAACACGUGAGUAACCUGCCCCCUUCUUCUGGAUAACCGCAUGAAAGUGUGGCUAAUACGGGAUAUUCUGGGUCUGUCGCAUGGUGGGUCUGGGAAAGAUAUUGUUUCGGUGGGGGAUGGGCUCGCGGCCUAUCAGCUUGUUGGUGGGGUGAUGGCCUACCAAGGCGGUGACGGGUAGCCGGCCUGAGAGGGUGGACGGUCACACUGGGACUGAGACACGGCCCAGACUCCUACGGGAGGCAGCAGUGGGGAAUAUUGCACAAUGGGCGCAAGCCUGAUGCAGCGACGCCGCGUGAGGGAUGGAGGCCUUCGGGUUGUGAACCUCUUUCGCCAGUGAAGCAGGCCUGCCUCGUUUGUGGGUGGGUUGACGGUAGCUGGAUAAGAAGCGCCGGCUAACUACG